AUUGAACGCUGGCGGCAGGCCUAACACAUGCAAGUCGAACGAGUGGCGGACGGGUGAGUAAUGUCUGGGAAACUGCCUGAUGGAGGGGGAUAACUACUGGAAACGGUAGCUAAUACCGCCUACCCUCCGAUGUGCCCAGAUGGGAUUAGCUUGUUGUUGGGGUAACGGGUCACCAAGGCGCCUAUCCCUUGCUGGUCUGAUGGGAUUACCAGCCACACUGGAACUGAGACACGGUCCAUACUCCUACGGGAGGCAGCAGUGGGGAAUAUUGCACAAUGGGCGCAAGCCUGAUGCAGCCAUGCCGCGUGUAUGAAGAAGUCCUUCGGGUUGUAAAGUACUUUCAGCGGGGAGGCGUUACCCGCAGAAGAAGCACCGGCUAACUCCGUGCCAGCCGCCGCGGUAAUUC
rnacentral:rRNA from 1 species